rnacentral:rRNA from 1 species
UACGUAGGGUGCAAGCGUUGUCCGGAAUUAUUGGGCGUAAAGGGCUCGUAGGCGGUUUGUCGCGUCGGGAGUGAAAACUCAGGGCUUAACCCUGAGCCUGCUUCCGAUACGGGCAGACUAGAGGUAUGCAGGGGAGAAUGGAAUUCCUGGUGUAGCGGUGAAAUGCGCAGAUAUCAGGAGGAACACCGGUGGCGAAGGCGGUUCUCUGGGCAUUACCUGACGCUGAGGCGCGAAAGCUAGGGGAGCGAACAGG